AGGCCAAAUAUGUUUUAAUGAAUCCAAAUAUCUUCCAAUUCAACAGUAUUGGAAUCUUCCAGAAUAUUUUAGGAGAUUUCUAAUCAGAGCAUAUUAAAAAUAUGAUACUGUACAUCAAACCACAGAAUAUUUAUUGAAUAAUAAAUUUGUGGCAUACAAUCUAGCUGCAUUGUUUUUCUUUGCAUUCAUUUUCCAGUUGGCAACUUCCACUACAUUAGCAGAGUAACCACUAAGUUGUCUUCUAUUUUCUAAAAGGUUUUUCCCGUCACUAUCUGUAUCGCUCAGAGUCUUUCAGAUACAAAAGCUGAGUUUAGGGAGUAGAUAAAAUUCACCUGUCAGACCAAACUGAGAUUGGUCCUUGGCUCUUUGUUCCCCCAUUUGAGCCUGAGUCUCCAACCUGAACAUACCUCUUUCAUGGGCACAACCGGGGAACAGAAAAAUGGCAACAGUUCUACAGCUCAUAAUAUAACCAGUCUGAAGGGUUUGCCUACUCACAGUUGUCUUUAUUUAAUGCAAGUUAAGCCUCAUUGUUCAACAAUACAUUCUGAAAUUCUGCAACUGGACAUGCUGCCUGCCACAAGACAAAAUUAUGAGUGAUUACUUAUAGGUAUAUCAGAAUACGUAUUUAGGUAGACAAGCACUGGAAAGGAACACAGAAUACUAAAGACAAUUGAUGGGGUACAACUGUGGGUAAUUUUUCUUUCUUCUUCUUCAACUGUUACAUUUGUGAAAUAAAUUGAAAAGGAGGGAAAAUCUUAUC
rnacentral:lncRNA from 1 species